rnacentral:rRNA from 1 species
GGGUCAGUAGGUUGGUCAUGCCACUGGUAUGUACUGGUCUCACUGAUUCCUCCUUCCUGAUGAGCCGUAAUGCCAUUAAUUUGGUGUUGCGAGGAAUCUGGACUGUUACUUUGAAAAAAUUAGAGUGUUUAAAGCAGGCUAACGCUUGAAUACAUUAGCAUGGAAUAAUGAAAUAGGACGUUCGAUCUUAUUUUGUUGGUUUCUAAGAUUGACGUAAUGAUUAAUAGGGAUAGUUGGG